rnacentral:rRNA from 1 species
AGAUAUCAGGAGGAACACCGGUGGCGAAGGCGGUUCUCUGGGCCUUACCUGACGCUGAGGAGCGAAAGCGUGGGGAGCGAACAGGAUUAGAUACCCUGGUAGUCCACGCCGUAAACGUUGGGCGCUAGGUGUGGGGUCUUUCCACGGAUUCCGUGCCGUAGCUAACGCAUUAAGCGCCCCGCCUGGGGAGUACGGCCGCAAGGCUAAAACUCAAAGGAAUUGACGGGGGCCCGCACAAGCGGCGGAGCAUGUGGAUUAAUUCGAUGCAACGCGAAGAACCUUACCUGGGCUUGACAUGCACUGGAUGCGGCCAGAGAUGGUUGUUCCCUUUGUGGCUGGUGUGCAGGUGGUGCAUGGUUGUCGUCAGCUCGUGUCGUGAGAUGUUGGGUUAAGUCCCGCAACGAGCGCAACCCUUGUCCUUAGUUGCCAUCAUUCAGUUGGGCACUCUAAGGAGACCGCCGGUGACAAACCGGAGGAAGGUGGGGAUGACGUCAAGUCAUCAUGCCCCUUAUGUCCAGGGCUUCACGCAUGCUACAAUGGCCGGUACAGUGAGUUGCGACAUCGUAAGGUGGAGCGAAUCUCAAAAAGCCGGUCUCAGUUCGGAUUGGGGUCUGCAACUCGACCCCAUGAAGUCGGAGUCGCUAGUAAUCGCAGAUCAGCAACGCUGCGGUGAAUACGUUCCCGGGCCUUGUACACACCGCCCGUCACGUCAUGAAAGUCGGUAACACCCGAAGCCGGUGGCCUAACCCCUUGUGGGAGGGAGCCGUCGAAGGUGGGAUCGGCGAUUGGGGAAGUCGAAACAAGGUAGCCGUACCGGAC